rnacentral:rRNA from 1 species
CCUACGGGGGGCAGCAGUGGGGAAUUUUCCGCAAUGGGCGAAAGCCUGACGGAGCAAUACCGCGUGAGGGAUGAAUGCCUAUGGGUUGUAAACCUCUUUUUUCAAGGAGGAAUAAAAUGACGUGUACUUGAAGAAUAAGCAUCGGCUAACUCCGUGCCAGCAGCCGCGGUAAGACGGGGGAUGCAAGUGUUAUCCGGAAUCACUGGGCGUAAAGCGUCUGUAGGUGGUUAAAUAAGUCAACUGUUAAAUCUUGAGGCUCAACCUCAAAAUCGCAGUCGAAACUGUUUGACUAGAGUAUAGUAGGGGUAAAGGGAAUUUCCAGUGGAGCGGUGAAAUGCGUAGAGAUUGGAAAGAACACCAAUGGCGAAGGCACUUUACUGGGCUAUUACUAACACUGAGAGACGAAAGCUAGGGUAGCAAAUGGGAUUAGAUACCCCAGUAGUC